GCUAAACGCGAAGAACCUUACCAAGGCUUGACAUAUACGGUCUAUCCCUAGAGAUAGGGAGUGCUUCGGCGCCGUAUACAGGUGGUGCAUGGUUGUCGUCAGCUCGUGUCGUGAGAUGUUGGGUUAAGUCCCGCAACGAGCGCAACCCUUGUCCUUAGUUGCCAUCAUUUAGUUGGGAACUCUAAGGAGACCGCCGGUGACAAACCGGAGGAAGGUGGGGAUGACGUCAAGUCAUCAUGGCCUUUAUGACCAGGGCUACACACGUGCUACAAUGGUAGAUACAGAGGGAAGCCAACGCGCGAGCGGGAGCUAAUCCCAGAAAAUCUAUCGUAGUCCGGAUUGGAGUCUGCAACUCGACUCCAUGAAGUCGGAAUCGCUAGUAAUCGCAGAUCAGCAUUGCUGCGGUGAAUACGUUCCCGGGUCUUGUACACACCG
rnacentral:rRNA from 1 species